GAUGAAGAACGUAGCGAAAUACGAUACUUGGUGUGAAUUGCAGAAUCCCGUGAACCAUCGAGUCUUUGAACGCAAGUUGUGCCCGAAGCCACUAGGCCGAGGGCACGCCUGCCUGGGUGUCACACGUCGUUGCCCCCCCCCCAUCUACUCCUUCGGGAUUGCGGGGGGCGGAUGAUGGCCUCCCGUGCGCCUAGCCGCGCGGUUGGCAUAAAUACCAAGUCCUCGGCGACGCACGCCACGACAAGCGGUGGUUGCGAAACCUCGGUUGCCCGUCGUGUGCGUUCGUCGCGCAUCGAGGGCUCGAAAAAAUGCUCGGCUCCGGCUCGGCUUUCAACGCGACCCCAGGUCAGGCGGGGUUACCCGCUGAAUUUAAGCAUAUCAAUAAGCGGAGGA
rnacentral:misc_RNA from 1 species